rnacentral:rRNA from 1 species
GAUGAACGCUAGCGGGAGGCUUAACACAUGCAAGUCGAGGGGCAGCAUAGGGUAGCAAUACUCUGAUGGCGACCGGCAAACGGGUGAGUAACGCGUAUGCAACCUACCCUGUACAGGGGGAUAACCCGGAGAAAUUCGGACUAAUAUCCCGUAAUAAUAUCCGGAGGCAUCUUUGGAUAUUUAAAGUUCCGACGGUACGGGAUGGGCAUGCGUAACAUUAACUGGUUGGUAAGGUAACGGCUUACCAAGGCUAUGAUGUUUAGGGGUCCUGAGAGGGUGGUCCCCCACACUGGUACUGAGACACGGACCAGACUCCUACGGGAGGCAGCAGUGAGGAAUAUUGGUCAAUGGGCGCAAGCCUGAACCAGCCAUCCCGCGUGCAGGAAGACGGCCCUAUGGGUUGUAAACUUCUUUUAUAGUAGAAUAAAGUGAUCCACGUGUGGAUUUUUGUAUGUAUACUAUGAAUAAGGAUCGGCUAACUCCGUG